CUAAUACAUGCAAGUCGAGCGGACAGAAGGGAGCUUGCUCCCGGAUGUUAGCGGCGGACGGGUGAGUAACACGUGGGUAACCUGCCUGUAAGACUGGGAUAACUCCGGGAAACCGGAGCUAAUACCGGAUAGUUCCUUGAACCGCAUGGUUCAAGGAUGAAAGACGGUUUCGGCUGUCACUUACAGAUGGACCCGCGGCGCAUUAGCUAGUUGGUGAGGUAACGGCUCACCAAGGCGACGAUGCGUAGCCGACCUGAGAGGGUGAUCGGCCACACUGGGACUGAGACACGGCCCAGACUCCUACGGGAGGCAGCAGUAGGGAAUCUUCCGCAAUGGACGAAAGUCUGACGGAGCAACGCCGCGUGAGUGAUGAAGGUUUUCGGAUCGUAAAGCUCUGUUGUUAGGGAAGAACAAGUG
rnacentral:rRNA from 1 species